GCGGAUGUAGUUCAGUGGUAGAACGUCAGCUUCCCAAGCUGAAUGUCGUCGGUUCGAGUCCGAUCAUCCGCU
rnacentral:tRNA from 3 species